rnacentral:misc_RNA from 1 species
CGUAGGUGAACCUGCGGAAGGAUCAUUAUUGUAUAACCGAGGUGCGAGGGCUGUCGCUGACCCGAAAGGUCGUGCACGCCCGAGUGCCCUCACACACAUCCAUCUCACCCCUAUGUGCACCACCGCGUGGGUCCCCCUUUGGCUUGUUCGGAGGGGGGCUUACGUUGUCACACAAACUUUGUAUGCAGUGUAGAAUGUAUUUUUUGUUUUUGCGAUCACGCAAUCAAUACAACUUUCAACAACGGAUCUCUUGGCUCUC